AUAGCUGCAUGUAUUGUUAUUGAGCACAGACUUUCUGUGUUUUUUAUUUGUUUGAAGAACCUAACUAUGCAUUGAACAUAGAGCCACAAAUCUUUAGCGUGACAGUCCCUUCUCUCUUGUUGAAGGGGAGAAUCACUGAAGUCAUUGUGUAUUCCUCUUUGCAAUAUGCUUUCUGUGAGUAAAGGGACAGGAUAAUGAAACUUGGAACGCCUACCUGCCUCUCUCCAAAUUGCUUAAAGCCAACUCUGACUUUGUGAAGAAAUGAAGUUUUGAGAUGAAUGAGUUGGUGGGGAGGGGAAGGAAAGAGGAGGAACCAAGAACCGGAAAAACAGAUGAUUGCAACACACAACCAGCGACAGCUGUGCCCUGGAUACAUUUCAUGGCCGUUAAGGAUCAUUGGGCCCUUCACCUCUGUAGUGGCUUGAGGCUAUGGAUGCCAGAAAAACAUGUUCUAAAACCAAAUCCAUUCCUAUGGGGGUGAACCCAUUGUAAAUAGGACCUGGUAAUGAGGUUACUCCAGUUAAGUGUGGCCCAGUGGAAUCAGGAUGGCUUUUAAUCCUAUUACUGGAGUUCCUUAGAAGUAGAGUGAAAUUCAGACACAUGGAGAGAAGGCCCAGGUUGCAGCGAGAAGCUGGAAGUUAAUAAAGCUGAAAGAAAAGGGAAAAAUGAGGCGAGGCUGCUAUGUACAUUGCCAUGUAACAAAAAGCCAAGGACCAAGGAUUGCUGGCAGCCAGCUCCAGGGUGCCACAGUCUUCUGGGAGAAAGCAUUGCCUUGAUGACACCUUGAUCUUGGACUUCUCCUACCCUCAAAACCCAGAUCAUUCUCACCACCACGUGGAGUAUGAAUUAGAUUUGUGAAAGUUCCAACUUGUCUGAAGUUGUCGAAAUCACUGGGUUAACUGGCCUCCAAGGAAUAAUUAAAGACUUCCCGGGAUGCUAUGGCCCACUGCGCUAACUCACUCAGCAUCCUAAAGUGAAGAUGGCCAGCCAGGAGGCAUAUUGUGAUAUGGAUAUAUCCUUUGGUGUCUGUGCCAGUUUGUAUAUAUUAUGUCCCCCAGAAAAAGCCAUAUUAUUUGAUGCAAUCUUGUAGGGGUAGACAUAAUAGUGUUGAUUAGAUUGGAAUUCUUUGAUUGAGUGUUUCCAUGGAGAU